UAGUCCACGCCGUAAACGAUGGAUACUAGCUGUCUGGAACCUUGAGUUCUGGGCGGCCAAGCGAAAGUGAUAAGUAUCCCACCUGGGGAGUACGUUCGCAAGAAUGAAACUCAAAGGAAUUGACGGGGGCCCGCACAAGCGGUGGAGCAUGUGGUUUAAUUCGAUGAUACGCGAGGAACCUUACCAGGGCUUAAAUGUAUUCUGGCAGCUUUAGAGAUAGAGUUUCCUUCGGGCAGAUUACAAGGUGCUGCAUGGUUGUCGUCAGCUCGUGCCGUGAGGUGUCAGGUUAAGUCCUAUAACGAGCGCAACCCCUGCCGUUAGUUGCCAGCAUGUAAAGAUGGGGACUCUAACGGGACUGCCAGCGCAAGCUGUGAGGAAGGUGGGGAUGACGUCAAAUCAUCACGGCCCUUACGUCCUGGGCUACACACGUGCUACAAUGGUAAUGACAGAGGGCAGCCACCACGCGAGUGGGAGCGAAUCCUUAAACNUUAUCUCAGUUCGG
rnacentral:rRNA from 1 species